AGAGUUUGAUCAUGGCUCAGAGCGAACGCUGGCGGCAGGCCUAACACAUGCAAGUCGAGCGGCCGUAGCAAUACGGCAGCGGCAGACGGGAGAGUAACACGUGGGAACGCGCCCUUCGGUUCGGGAUAACUCAGGGAAACUUGAGCUAAUACCGGAUACGCCCUUACGGGGAAAGAUUUAUUGCCGAAGGAACGGCCCGCGUCCGAUUAGCUUGUUGGUGAGGUAACGGCUCACCAAGGCGACGAUCGGUAGCUGGUCUGAGAGGAUGACCAGCCUCACUGGGACUGAGACACGGCCCAGACUCCUACGGGAGGCAGCAGUGGGGAAUAUUGGACAAUGGGCGCAAGCCUGAUCCAGCCAUGCCGCGUGGGUGAUGAAGGCCCUAGGGUUGUAAAGCCCUUUCAGCGGGGAAGAUAAUGACGGUACCCGCAGAAGAAGCCCCGGCUAACUUCGUGCCAGCAGCCGCGGUAAUACGAAGGGGGCUAGCGUUGCUCGGAAUUACUGGGCGUAAAGCGCACGUAGGCGGAUUGUUAAGUCGGGGGUGAAAUCCUGGAGCUCAACUCCAGAACUGCCUUCGAUACUGGCGAUCUAGAGUCCGGGAGAGGUGAGUGGAACUGCGAGUGUAGAGGUGAAAUUCGUAGAUAUUCGCAAGAACACCAGUGGCGAAGGCGGCUCACUGGCCCGGUACUGACGCUGAGGUGCGAAAGCGUGGGGAGCAAACAGGAUUAGAUACCCUAGUAGUCC
rnacentral:rRNA from 1 species